UACAGGGGGUGCAAACGUUGCUCGGAAUCAUUGGGCGUAAAGCGCACGUAGGCGGUCUGUUAUGUCGGAUGUGAAAGCCCUCGGCUCAACUGGGGAAGUGCAUCCGAAACUGGCAGGCUAGAGUACUAAAGAGGGUCGCGGAAUUCCAGGUGUAGCGGUGAAAUGCGUAGAUAUCUGGAGGAACACCGGUGGCGAAGGCGGCGUUCUGGACUGUAACUGACACUGAGAAACGAAAGCCAGGGUAGCAAACGGG
rnacentral:rRNA from 1 species